rnacentral:misc_RNA from 1 species
UACGGAGGGUGCGAGCGUUAAUCGGAAUUACUGGGCGUAAAGCGCACGUAGGUGGUUGAGUCAGUCAGAUGUGAAAGCCCCGGGCUCAACCUGGGAAUUGCAUCUGAUACUGCUCGGCUAGAGUGUGUUAGAGGGAAGUGGAAUUUCAGGUGUAGCGGUGAAAUGCGUAGAUAUCUGAAGGAACACCAGUGGCGAAGGCGAAUUCCUGGGACAAUACUGACACUGAGGUGCGAAAGCGUGGGUAGCAAACAGG